ACUCAGCUGACGAGUUCGAAAUAGGACGAAACGCACAUCCUGGAU
rnacentral:hammerhead_ribozyme from 1 species